AGUGAACGCUGGCGGUAGGCCUAACACAUGCAAGUCGAACGGCAGCACAGUAAGAGCUUGCUCUUACGGGUGGCGAGUGGCGGACGGGUGAGGAAUACAUCGGAAUCUACUUUUUCGUGGGGGAUAACGUAGGGAAACUUACGCUAAUACCGCAUACGACCUACGGGUGAAAGCAGGGGAUCUUCGGACCUUGCGCGAUUGAAUGAGCCGAUGUCGGAUCAGCUAGUUGGCGGGGUAAAGGCCCACCAAGGCGACGAUCCGUAGCUGGUCUGAGAGGAUGAUCAGCCACACUGGAACUGAGACACGGUCCAGACUCCUACGGGAGGCAGCAGUGGGGAAUAUUGGACAAUGGGCGCAAGCCUGAUCCAGCCAUACCGCGUGGGUGAAGAAGGCCUUCGGGUUGUAAAGCCCUUUUGUUGGGAAAGAAAAGCAGCAGGUUAAUACCCCGCUGUUCUGACGGUACCCAAAGAAUAAGCAACGGCUAACUUCGUG
rnacentral:rRNA from 1 species